rnacentral:lncRNA from 1 species
UCUCAAUCAAAUAUAAGAGACAGAGUAACACAUCCAUAUCUCUCUCAGGUGCAAGACUGCCAUGUUGUGAAACAUCUAUCCAAGGAAGAGUAUAAUGGAUGCACAGCAGCCCUGAUUGUGGGUGGAAAAAACGUCUCUCCGUUUCAUGUGUAGGCCAGGGGGAUAUUUAGAGGUUUUCCGGAAUGCAGGAGUUCCUCCCAAACAGAAACUCACCACGUUUUGUGUGUCAGACAACGCCAUCAUCAAACCAGGCACUCCUCUCUAUGCAGCUCACUUCUGUCCAGGACAAUAUGUGGAUGUCACAGCGAAAACGUGAGUCAAGUACACACACACAAAGUGUAAUUACACGUUUUAAGAUGAAAAUAUUAAAAAG